GAGUCUGGCAAAGGACAGAGAGCAAAGGGUUAAGGGUGGCGGCCGCGGAGCCCCGGGAAGGAGGCCGACGCCGCCGUCACACGCAUUCCACCGGUAACCCUUCCUGGGCAUCCUUCCCCCCGGCUGCAUCCAUCACCGGAAGCAGCAGCGCGUGCACGUUUCACCCAUUCCAGACAAAGGCUAAUCCUCCAUCACCUCCAGGAGGGGCGGGCAACCGUUUCCGGGAAGGACCAGCCACACAUUUUUGCCAGGUGACUCUGCCGUUCCUUCUAGAUGCAGUAUAUUUGCUCCAUCCAGUGAUGCUGGACUUGGCCACGUGACUUGCUUUGGCCAGUGAAUAUGAGGAGAUGUGAACAUGCCUGGCUAGUCCACCGACCUUAGGGUGGGGAGAGGACCAUGGAGAGGACAGAACUGGCUGAAACCUGCAGCUUAGAGCCACGCUCAACCAAACCCAGCUGGGGGCAGCCGAUGCCCAGGUGAACCAGAGAUGUGUAAGCUAACCCACUGAGCUUGGGGCGACUUGUUACACAGCAUUACUGUGGCAGCAGAUGACAGAUAUGCCUUCAUUACACUAAAAGCUCCUUUGAGACAA